UACCUAGUCUUAUCCAGCCCGGAA
rnacentral:siRNA from 1 species